rnacentral:rRNA from 1 species
UUCUGGCUCAGGAUGACGCUAGCGCAGCCUAAUACAUGCAAGUCGUACGGGAUGAGCCCUUCGGGGCUUUGAGAGUGGCGCACGGGUGCGUAACGCGUAUGCAACCAACCCCUUUCGGGGGACAGCCGGUGGAAACGCCGGGUAAUACCCCAUGGCAACGUCUAUGGACAUCCACUGACGUUGAAAGCUUCGGUCGGAGAGGGACGGGCAUGCGUCCCAUUAGCUAGUCGCGGGGCAACGGCCCACCGAGGCCAUGAUGGGUAGGGGAUCUGAGAGGACGGUCCCCCACGACUGGUACUGAGACACGGACCAGACUCCUACGGGAGGCAGCAGUAAGGAAUAUUGGGCAAUGGGGGGAACCCUGACCCAGCCAAUGCCGCGUGAGGGAAUAAGGCCCUACGGGUCGUAAACCUCUUUUGCUCGGGGACAAGGACGGCGUCGCGAACGCCGUUUGCGGGUACCGGGCGAAUAAGCAUCGGCUAACUCCGUGCCAGCCGCCGC